rnacentral:rRNA from 1 species
GGGUCAGUAGGUUGGUCGUGCCACCGGUACGUACUGGUCUCACUGAUUCCUCCUUCCUGAAGAACCGUAAUGCCAUUAAUUGGGUGUUGCGGGGAAACAGGACUGUUACUUUGAAAAAAUUAGAGUGUUUAAAGCAAGCUAACGCUUGAAUACAUUAGCAUGGAAUAAUGAAAUAGGACGAUCGAUCCUAUUUUGUUGGUUUCUAGGAUUGACGUA